UACGUAGGGGGCAAGCGUUGUCCGGAAUCAUUGGGCGUAAAGAGCGUGUAGGCGGCCCGAUAAGUCCGCUGUGAAAGUCCAGGGCUCAACCCUGGAAUGCCGGUGGAUACUGUCGGGCUCGAAUCCGGAAGAGGUGAGUGGAAUUCCUGGUGUAGCGGUGAAAUGCGCAGAUAUCAGGAGGAACACCAAUGGCGAAGGCAGCUCGCUGGGACGUUACUGACGCUGAGGCGCGAAAGCGUGGGGAGCGAACAGG
rnacentral:rRNA from 1 species